GACGAACCGUGCGAACGUUAUUCGGAAUCACUGGGCUUAAAGCGCGUGUAGGCGGGACGGCACGUCGGUCGCUGAAAGCCCCCCGGCUCAACCGGGGAACGGGGCGCCGAUACGACCGGCCUGGAGGGACGUAGGGGGACCUGGAACUUCCGGUGGAGCGGUGAAAUGCGUUGAGAUCGGAAGGAACGCCCGUGGCGAAAGCGAGGUCCUGGACGUCUGCUGACGCUGAGACGCGAAAGCCAGGGGAGCGAACGGG
rnacentral:rRNA from 1 species